AUUUUGUAGACAGGUCCAGUUACAAAUAUUGAAACGAAUAUGUAAACUGAGUCCUAUUUCAUCUCAUGUUAGUUAAAGUGGUUUGUAUUUUGGUAUUCACUCCUAUUAGCAGCAAAAUGCAAGAAAUAAAAAUGUAUUAAAGAACAGUAGAGGCUGAACUAGCGUACAUGUCUCAUAUACUUUGGCUGUUUUCUUUUUCUCUGAAAUGGUUUAUUUGAAUUACAUUGGUGGCAUUGUGUCCAUAAGCAGUUCAGACAUGAUUAACCCCAAUGACAUGCUUACUACGCUCCCAUACACAGAAUGACUUUUGGCCUAAGAAACAUUUGUAAGACUACUCCUACCAAAACCAAAAUGAUAAUUGUUUUAUACUGGUCCAGUUUUCAGCUUCAUUUUGUUCUUCAAGUCACCUGAGGGAUAUUUCUGUGUUACCAGAAGAUGCCAUUUCAGUUUACAUCUUAAACUAUACUUUGUCCCCAGAUGAUGUUGUAAAAUGAAUUGCAUUCAGGCAGAGGCUUCUCAAGCACAACAGCUUCAUUUAAUAGUAUCAUAUAAGCAUUCAAAUCCCAGUCCCUGGAGUUCUCCCUUUGCUAACAGUUAUAGCAUCAGACCUAAACUGGCAAGGUGUUUUGGAGAAUGCAGUUUUUCUGAGUCAGUCAACUUAUAUUGUGAAAUAUAUAACAUAACUUUUUUUUUUUUUCUGUUUUAAACAAGGCAACCAAGAAACCUGAAGAAAUCAGAAGUCUUUUGUCGGCUUCUUAGCUUCAGAAAAGAGAAGAUGAGCUACAGAGACAGCAGAAGGAAACACUUUCUCUGUGACAGAAUAAGGAUGAUCUUCUUAUUGAGCUCUAGCCUCAAGAAGUUAGAUUUAGUGGCUCUAGACUGAGCUGUGCAAAAUGGAAUUGGAGAUAAAAAAUGGAGAGCUGAAGCUGAACAGCUACAAAAUGAACUGGGAAUAUCCAGUUAGUUACAUGGGCAGGCCAAAUAUUCAGCUGGAAGACCAGAAGACAAUGAUUCAGAAGCCCAGGGAGCCUUCAGUGGACAAUCAGAUUGUGCCUACAGCGGAAGAAUCUUGCUGGCAUAUUGCCUUUGCCACUCUAAAAUCUGAUUUCACAGAAUUUGAAAAGAAAGUAUGUCAAAACUUCAGUACAGUUGGAUGA
rnacentral:lncRNA from 1 species